UGGACCAAGUGCUACAUCAGAGAUGAACUACAGGUAGCAGUUGUUGAUGCCUUUGCAUAAUUACAAGCAGCACAUGCUAUAGUAGUACAGACUACAGAGUAUGUUAUUACAUGGUAAAAAUAUUUAUUGCAGGACAAAUCUCCCUGGGUGCAAAUAAGGUACAAGCUGGUAUGGUACCAAGCAAAAGGGGAGAGGCUUAAGAUCUGUUUUAUUUUUAAUAAGAGUAAAAUACACUGGCGGUCCUUUAACUUGUCAGCCUGUGCCACUUUGGUCCAUGAACUUGCAAACCCGAAAAAGUGACCCCUGAACUUGUCCGCCUGUGCCACUUUGGUCCUGAACUUGGAAACGCAAAACAGUGGCCCCUGAAUUUGUCGGCCUAUGCCACUUUGGUCCAUAAACGUGUAACGGAUCUUUCAACGCGCCAACAAAUAUUUAUUUAUUUCAUAACUAAUUAUUAAUGAAAUGCUAAAUUCAUGAAAUGUUUUGUGUAGCCUCUUCAUGUGUACUCUGCCUAGGAAAAAUAUGAAACCUAGAAAACGAAUAAUUUUUGCUUGUUUUAAAAUUAUCUCUUUUAAUUAAUAAAUGCAACGAAUUGAUAUAUUAUUUGAUAUAUUUGACGCUAUGAAUAAAAAUAUAUAUCAAUUUCGUAAAUUAAAAAAGAAGUGCUGACAUCAUUGUUGACGUCAGCACCAUAAACGGUGUCAUGCAUGGCCUACCAGAGGCGGCCACGUGGCAGAACAGUGCCAUGCAGCCGGUGUUAUUUUCGUAUUUGCAUGUUCAUGGACCAAAGUGGCACACGUCGACAAGUUCAGGGGCCACUUUUUCGUGUUUGCAAGUUCAUGGACCAAAGUGGCACAUGCUGACAAGUUUAGGGGCCUUUUUUUCGCGUUUGCAAGUUCAUGGACCAAAGUGGCACAGAGCGACAACUUAAAGGGCCGCCGGUGUAUUUUACUCUUUUAAUAAAAUAAUGAAUUAACAAGGGCUUGCUAAUCCCCAUGCU
rnacentral:lncRNA from 1 species